rnacentral:rRNA from 1 species
GGCGACGGGUGAGUAACCGUGGGCAAUCUGCCCUGCACUCUGGGACAAGCCCUGGAAACGGGGUCUAAUACCGGAUAAUACUCCUGUCCGCAUGGGCAGGUGUUGAAAGCUCCGGCGGUGCAGGAUGAGCCCGCGGCCUAUCAGCUUGUUGGUGAGGUAGUGGCUCACCAAGGCGACGACGGGUAGCCGGCCUGAGAGGGCGACCGGCCACACUGGGACUGAGACACGGCCCAGACUCCUACGGGAGGCAGCAGUGGGGAAUAUUGCACAAUGGGCGGAAGCCUGAUGCAGCGACGCCGCGUGAGGGAUGACGGCCUUCGGGUUGUAAACCUCUUUCAGCAGGGAAGAAGCGCAAGUGACGGUACCUGCAGAAGAAGCGCCGGCUAACUACGUGCCAGCAGCC